UUACGUUUACCCUGUAGAUCCGAAUUUGUGUAUGAAACAAUCUACAAAUUCGUUUUUGCGGGUGAUUGUGUC
rfam:Lottia gigantea unplaced genomic scaffold LOTGIsca_12, whole genome shotgun sequence.